AGAGUUUGAUCCUGGCUCAGGAUGAACGCUGGCGGCGUGCCUAAUACAUGCAAGUCGAGCGAACGGACGAGAAGCUUGCUUCUCUGAUGUUAGCGGCGGACGGGUGAGUAACACGUGGAUAACCUACCUAUAAGACUGGGAUAACUUCGGGAAACCGGAGCUAAUGCCGGAUAAUAUUUUGAACCGCAUGGUUCAAAAGUGAAAGACGGUCUUGCUGUCACUUAUAGAUGGAUCCGCGCUGCAUUAGCUAGUUGGUAAGGUAACGGCUUACCAAGGCAACGAUGCAUAGCCGACCUGAGAGGGUGAUCGGCCACACUGGAACUGAGACACGGUCCAGACUCCUACGGGAGGCAGCAGUAGGGAAUCUUCCGCAAUGGGCGAAAGCCUGACGGAGCAACGCCGCGUGAGUGAUGAAGGUCUUCGGAUCGUAAAACUCUGUUAUUAGGGAAGAACAUAUGUGUAAGUAACUGUGCACAUCUUGACGGUACCUAAUCAGAAAGCCACGGCUAACUACGUGCCAGCAGCCGCGGUAAUACGUAGGUGGCAAGCGUUAUCCGGAAUUAUUGGGCGUAAAGCGCGCGUAGGCGGUUUUUUAAGUCUGAUGUGAAAGCCCACGGCUCAACCGUGGAGGGUCAUUGGAAACUGGAAAACUUGAGUGCAGAAGAGGAAAGUGGAAUUCCAUGUGUAGCGGUGAAAUGCGCAGAGAUAUGGAGGAACACCAGUGGCGAAGGCGACUUUCUGGUCUGUAACUGACGCUGAUGUGCGAAAGCGUGGGGAUCAAACAGGAUUAGAUACCCUGGUAGUCCACGCCGUAAACGAUGAGUGCUAAGUGUUAGGGGGUUUCCGCCCCUUAGUGCUGCAGCUAACGCAUUAAGCACUCCGCCUGGGGAGUACGACCGCAAGGUUGAAACUCAAAGGAAUUGACGGGGACCCGCACAAGCGGUGGAGCAUGUGGUUUAAUUCGAAGCAACGCGAAGAACCUUACCAAAUCUUGACAUCCUUUGACAACUCUAGAGAUAGAGCCUUCCCCUUCGGGGGACAAAGUGACAGGUGGUGCAUGGUUGUCGUCAGCUCGUGUCGUGAGAUGUUGGGUUAAGUCCCGCAACGAGCGCAACCCUUAAGCUUAGUUGCCAUCAUUAAGUUGGGCACUCUAAGUUGACUGCCGGUGACAAACCGGAGGAAGGUGGGGAUGACGUCAAAUCAUCAUGCCCCUUAUGAUUUGGGCUACACACGUGCUACAAUGGACAAUACAAAGGGCAGCGAAACCGCGAGGUCAAGCAAAUCCCAUAAAGUUGUUCUCAGUUCGGAUUGUAGUCUGCAACUCGACUACAUGAAGCUGGAAUCGCUAGUAAUCGUAGAUCAGCAUGCUACGGUGAAUACGUUCCCGGGUCUUGUACACACCGCCCGUCACACCACGAGAGUUUGUAACACCCGAAGCCGGUGGAGUAACCUUUUAGGAGCUAGCCGUCGAAGGUGGGACAAAUGAUUGGGGUGAAGUCGUAACAAGGUAGCCGUAUCGGAAGGUGCGGCUGGAUCACCU
rnacentral:rRNA from 3 species